GCUCAGGAUGAACGCUGGCGGCGUGCUUAACACAUGCAAGUCGAGCGAAGCACUUAAGUUUGAUUCUUCGGAUGAAGACUUUUGUGACUGAGCGGCGGACGGGUGAGUAACGCGUGGGUAACCUGCCUCAUACAGGGGGAUAACAGUUAGAAAUGACUGCUAAUACCGCAUAAGACCACGGUACCGCAUGGUACAGUGGUAAAAACUCCGGUGGUAUGAGAUGGACCCGCGUCUGAUUAGGUAGUUGGUGGGGUAACGGCCUACCAAGCCGACGAUCAGUAGCCGACCUGAGAGGGUGACCGGCCACAUUGGGACUGAGACACGGCCCAGACUCCUACGGGAGGCAGCAGUA
rnacentral:rRNA from 1 species